GAGGAAUAUUGGUCAAUGGACGGAAGUCUGAACCAGCCAAGUAGCGUGCAGGAUGACGGCCCUAUGGGUUGUAAACUGCUUUUAUGUGGGAAUAAAGUGGCGCACGCGUGCGCCAUUGCAUGUACCUCAUGAAUAAGGACCGGCUAAUUCCGUGCCAGCAGCCGCGGUAAUACGGAAGGUCCGGGCGUUAUCCGGAUUUAUUGGGUUUAAAGGGAGUGUAGGCGGUCUGUUAAGCGUGUUGUGAAAUUUAGGUGCUCAACAUUUAACUUGCAGCGCGAACUGUCAGACUUGAGUACACGCAGCGCAGGCGGAAUUCAUGGUGUAGCGGUGAAAUGCUUAGAUAUCAUGAGGAACUCCGAUCGCGAAGGCAGCCUGCGGGAGUGUUACUGACGCUUAAGCUCGAAGGUGCGGGUAUCGAACAGGAUUAGAUACCCUGGUAGUCCGCACAGUAAACGAUGGAUGCCCGCCGUUGGCGCCCUGCGCCUGCGGCCAAGCGAAAGCAUUAAGCAUCCCACCUGGGGAGUACGCCGGCAACGGUG
rnacentral:rRNA from 1 species